rnacentral:rRNA from 1 species
ACAUGCAAGUCGAGCGAAUGGAUUAAGAGCUUGCUCUUAUGAAGUUAGCGGCGCGAUAGGGUGAGUAACACGUGGGUAACCUGCCCAUAAGACUGGCGAUAACUCCGGGAAACCGGGGCUAAUACCGGAUAACAUUUUGAACCGCAUGGUUCGAAAUUGAAAGGCGGCUUCGGCUGUCACUUAUGGAUGGACCCGCGUCGCAUUAGCUAGUUGGUGAGGUAACGGCUCACCAAGGCAACGAUGCGUAGCCGACCUGAGAGGGUGAUCGGCCACACUGGGACUGACACACGGCCCAGACUCCUACGGGAGGCAGCAGUAGGGAAUCUUCCGCAAUGGACGCAAGUCUGACGGAGCAACGCCGCGUGAGUGAUGAAGGCUUUCGGGUCGUAAAACUCUGUUGUUAUUUUAGAACAAGUGCUUGUU